rnacentral:rRNA from 1 species
UACAAAGGGUGCGAGCGUUAAUCGGAAUUACUGGGCGUAAAGCGCGCGUAGGCGGCUUUGCAAGUCGAGUGUGAGAUCCCCAGGCUCAACCUGGGAACUGCAUUCGAGACUGCAUAGCUAGAGUAUGGGAGAGGGAAGUGGAAUUUCAGGUGUAGCGGUGAAAUGCGUAGAUAUCUGAAGGAACACCAGUGGCGAAAGCGACUUCCUGGACCAAUACUGACGCUCAUGUGCGAAAGCGUGGGGAGCAAACAGG